AGGGAAGGGAGGAAAAUUAAAGCACUGCAAAAAACCCUGUUAUUGCAUGGCACCACAAGGGAGAAAGCGGUUAAAUUUUGCCCCCUAGUUCCCCAAAUCGGACUCUGCCCCCUUACACAUGAUGGAGGGGAACAAGGCAAAGCUGGGAGCAGCUUCCAGCUUGUGCUGGGAACUGAGCACAGGAACACCAAGGGGCAGUUCAAGGACAGGCAGCUUCACCCUGUGCCACAGCCAACCCCUAGCACUCCUUUCUCCUUGUCAGGAGGGCAGCAUGGCCACAGCAUCCACACAAAACCCCUGUGCUGACACUGGUCAGAGCUUCAUCUCUUGGUGUUGAAGAGACAAAAUCCCCUCAGGAGGCAAUGGGUGAGCCAUGAUAGGCUGUGGUCAUGAAGACUUUUGGAGGACCGGAUGAGACCUGUGAGGAGAAAAUCCAGUCUCACCUGCAAUCCCUAAGGAAGGUGUUGGCAGAGUUUCUGGACUGGAGCACGAGUGAAGAGAAGAGACACCACAACUACCUGGUACAGGCGGUCCCCUCUGUUCUUCAGCAGUCUGAAUGAGCCUUUGGGCAUUUACUUUUCCCCAAGCCCCUCUUGAAGAAACACAUGGGAUCAAGAAACAUGUGUCCAAGAAGCAUCCUGGGGCCCUGCAAAGCCCUACAUCCAGUUGGAGUGGUUGGUGCAGAUCCUGGGCAGGUUUGGCAAGCACCACCUCCAUGUACAGCUGCUUAUUAUCCACUUAUUAUCCUGCUUAUUAAAUCAAUGUCAUGGUGCUGCUCAUUUUCAUCCCAGACUGAGUAAUAAAGGGACAUUUGUUAACAUGGAAUUAACACUCCCCCCUGCUUCUCAGGGCCUGGAUUGGUUUUGGACAGAAUAUAGAAAGGAAUGGCAAUGGGGAAGAGAAAAGGAGAACCAUCGGGUGAAGUAUGUAAUUACUGUGCAGUCCCUAAUUAGCUGCAUCCCCAGCCCCGCCCCAGCGUUACAGCCACCAUGGCUACAGCAGAAGCACUUCUGCCCUUUAACUCAAAAGGGGAAAAUUCAGGUCUGGGGGUUGCAUAUGGAUUUCUUGUCUCCUCCAGGAGAUGAGUGAAGCUGAGUGGCGCUGCAUUGAGGUGGAGUUUGAGCAGCUGCAGAGCAGGAGCUGUGGCAGCUGCUGGGCUGGAUGACACCUUCGCAGCUACCCACGCUGAAAAAUCAUUGCGGGUGGCCGAGGGGGCUGCACAGCUCCACAGACUCAUCGGGCAGCUGGAGGCCAGGCCCAUAUGAGUGCCAUUCUUACCCAAAAGCUGUCCCAAAGCGCUGCCUAUGGGGUCUUGAACUCCCUUUUUUCUCCCUUUUUCCUUUUGGGAUGUUGGGAGCAUCCAAAGCAAGUAUGUGGCAACUGUUUGCUUCACAUCCAGCUGCGGAGAGGUGCUUGGCUGCUACAUCCAUCACAUAACACCUGUCCCUGUAAUUUCUUUUCCCAGCUUGAGUGAAAUGAGGCUCCACCUCCCCUCGGGGCUCCCCAAGGAGCUGAAGAAGAGCCUGCCACCAAAGCAAUGUUCUGUGGGAGGCCCUGGAGAAGUUCAGAGGUAUUUGGGUAAAAAUUGGAUAUUUUAGGAGAAUUCAGAGGUAUUUCAGGAGAAUUUGGAGGCUUUGGGGAGGAAUCCAGAGGUAUUUGGGAUAAUUCAGAUAUUCAGAUAUAUUCAGAUAUUCAGAUGUAUUCAGAUAAUUCAUAUAUUUGCCUAUAAUGGGGGGAGGAAUUCAGAGUUAUUUUGGGAGGAAUUCAUUUUGGGAUAAUUUAAUUAUCUGGGGAAAACUCAAGAGGCAUUUCAGGAGGAAGAGGAGCUUGUCCAAGGGAAGAGCAGCAGCACGCUCUGCGCCUGCUCGCUCCCCACCUUCUUCCCUCCUCCCAGACAUGGAUCCCCCCAUGGGUCUCCCCACAGCAAUGAUGACGCUGGAGACUGGCACGACUCCUCUCCCACAGCUUUUGGCAGAGAGCAAAAAUGUGCUAUAGAUGAGGAGGAGGACGAGCAGGAGCUGGCUAGUAGCUGCCAGGGGGUCAUUGCCAGGAGAUGCAGGAUGUGGACACAGUAGAUGGACCUGUGCAUCCUCAUCCUAGGUGCUGCCCAUACUCCUAGGGAGACAGAUGGUUUUAUGAUAAGCUCCUCUCCCAGCUGCUUUAAUUAGUAACCAAUCUUGUGUUGCUGCUCACCAUGUAGGUAAUGAAGAAAAAAAAAAAGAAAAAAACAACCCCAAAAACAAACAAAAAAAACACCCUAACCUCGAUUUUCCUUUUGGGCGUGCGUGUGUGUGCAUGUAUGCAUAGGCUAGAUUUUAAGGUAUUUCUUGGUUCCGCUGGCCAGGGAGAAGGGAGCAGGCAGGCGAGGAUACACGGUCCCGGUUCUCGGGUGCGGACUGGCGGACCUAAACUAUAGGGCCUUGACUGAGAACAGCACGUCCCGCUCCUCCCCGCCGCUGGAAGCGGCUGCCGCGGCUCUGGCUGUCGUCACUCGGCUGCCCUCGCACGAUAAGCGGCGACUCCCCGCGGGACCGCGCCUGUCCCGUCCCGCGGUGCAGCUCUCAGUGGCCAUCCCCUGCUCCGGCUCUUUAAUUCUAUUUGUUUUAUUCUGCUCUAUACAUUCCAUUCACAUCUCGCCCCCCUAUCAGUUGAGCCCUUUUGGCGACACUUAGCAGAGGCGACAGUCACCUCCCGGCACAGCUUCUAGCGACUGGGGGCCGUGGCCAGCCUGGGCAGCUACCAGGACGGCUCACACCGCACCACCCGCUCGGUGCGCCUCUCGCAGCGCCGUCUCGCCCUCGGGGCGGCUUUUCCGGUGACUCCGGCACGGCUCGGUUCGGCUCCGGUGUCGCCGCCUCGCCCGUCCCGCGGCGCAGCUCUUAGGGACGCGGGGCAGCGGCCACCCCGAGGGUCAGCUCCCACCGCGCCGCCACGGCCACCCAAGGCAGCAGCCACACUGCGGCAGCUUUUCUUCGCCGCCUCGCCUCGCCUCGCCCGCUCCCUUCAUGUAGCCCCUUCACCGCCACCUCACAGCGGGGAGAAAAUUGUUGGGAAAAUAUUUAUACCUAGCAUAGCCCUGACUUCUCUUGCUGCUGCAGAAUCCUUAUGUAGGCUGAGAUUCUCCUUCGAAAAGAACAAUAAGUGCCUGAAAUAACUAAGAAUUAAUUAAGCAUUAGGUUGGUCUGCUGUUAAUGGUCCCUUUCUUUUUUCAUUCUUUGCCCCGAGGCAUCAAACUUUGGGUUUGUUUGGGUUCGGUUUCCCAGUCCCGUCCUGUCCCGCUCCACACCUCGAGGAGUCAGUGGCGGGACCGCAAAGCGCCUCUGACCGAGACCAAACAAUGAGGAGUUUUCCAUGCGCGAUGUCCAGUGCGCAUAAUUUCUCCUUUUUUUUUUUUUUUUUUUUUUUUUUUUUUUUUUUUUUUGCGUGAAAAAGCCAAAGCUGCUCAGUUUUGGGGCAGAGCGGAUUUUACAACUGUUUGGGAACAUCGAACUUCCUUUAUUGUUUUAUCUGCCUUAUUCAUACCUAUAAUUCCUGAUUAGUAUUUUAAACAUUAUGUGUUUAUUAUUUUUAUAGCUCUGUAAUAAAAUUUGCAACUAUACUUAAGCGCAUGUAUGUCUUACAUAAAAAUGAAAUAUAGUAUGUUGAAACUCCGUUAAUGUUAUUAUAGUUAAAAUACGCACAACGGUGGGUUUUUAUUUCACUUUAACCCUCCUGCUCCAAGCUGGUAUGCACAUGAGCUCCAGGGAACUCUGCUCUCUUGCCACAUUCCUGCUUUAAUCCUUGUCUCCUGGAGCCCCCUUCUGGCCUCGCUCUGCUUCCCCCGGUGCAGCCGGAGGGGUGAGAAUUCGCCUAGUAAAUAACUCGUCCCUCCUCGGCCCCAGCUGCCGCUGCCUGCACUCCCUUCUGUCCGUAAAUCCCCGCUGGCGCUGGCCCGAGGGGCUGUUCCCUGACUGAGGCGGUGGGAAUGUCGGACCCGCCCGGGAUGCCUUUGCUUCCAAGCGUCCCGGCCCGCCGCCGCCUCCAGGAACAGCCCGGCCAGGCCUCUUCCCGUGCGCGCCUCCCCGUAAACAGCCAUGGCCGCGGGAGACGCCAUCAGAGGAAACCACCUGCGCUGUCUGCUUGGAUUUCUUCCAAGAUCCUGUCAUGAUCCUGAGCUGCGGACACACUUUCUGCCGGCGCUGCCUGUCGCGGUGCGCAGCGGGCGGCGCUCCGUGCCCGCAGUGCCGGGUGCCGUUCCCGCACGCAGGUGAUGCCUCAGGUUUUAGCUUUUAUAUUUUUCGGGUUCUGUACUGCUUUAGUGUGUAGUUCUGAGCUUCAUAUUAAGGGACAGUAAGCUCUCUUCACAGAGUAGGUGGACGAAGCUAUUCCUUCUCUAGCUGGGGACCAAGGAUAACCAAUCCAAAUCUCAGACCCAAGAGCAUUAACAAGGGUGGACCAAAGCGAGGAAAACAAGAAGGGUUGGACUUCCAAACAUAAAGCUGUAAUUGGACAAUUAUCUCCAAUAAAUAUCUUCUGCUAAUGGACCAGAACUUAAAAAAGUGAGACAUCUCGUGAUUGGUCGUCCAUUUUGUGACUAUUUUGGGUUCAUCUUGGAUGUAGUCUUGGCUGGGUUCUUGUGCUGCCCAAGGUGUACCCUUUGAGGCCUUUUAAUAAAUACCUACUUUAUUCUUUAACUCCAUCUAGCCUCUGUUCUAGGUCAGCCUUCACAAGGCAUCAGUGGCUUCCGCCCCAACCAGCAGCUGGCCAGUGUGGUGGCAGCCGUGCAGGAGCUGGUCCCGCUACUGGCGCAGGAUCUGUGCCACAGGCACCAACGUCCCUUCACUGUCUUUGUCACCACGAUGGAGUUCUUGUCUGCACCACCUGCACCGAGCAUCGCUCCCACCCCACCGUGCUGCUCCAAGAGGCCGCUCGCUGCCACAGGGUGAGCGGAUCCCAGUCUCAGAUACACCCUGCCUGAACGAUGCUAAUUUCCCGUAAAACUCAGCCCCCAGAAUAUGUAUUUUGAGCAGAGGCAAAGCUUUUCCCUGUCUUGCUAGGGGGAAAAAAGCAAUGCGAGCAUCUAGAAGCCAAAACUGAGCUGAAAUGCUGCAGUUUGGUGAGGGUUAAGUAUGAAACAGUAUAGCAGGUGGUAGUUCUGGGACCAAAACUAAAUAUUGGAGAUUUCAAACUCUUGCUGUCACCUGGCACCUGUGCUGUGGAGGGUUCCUAUUCCACUUCCGGGCACGGAGGGGAAAUGGGGAUCCCCAAAGGGGGCUUGGACCUGGCUGUAGGUGCAAGGGAAGGGUGAUCAGAAUUUUUAAAGAUCUCAUGGCACCUUUUUUACAGGAGACCUUGGAGAGAUGGGAUAUCCCAGCCUAUCUGGGAGACUUGUAGUGCCCAGGUAUCACUGUGUGUUUACAUAACUGUAUGGAUAAGGUGAGGGUGUGCAUGCAGCAUAACUAUGAAGUUAAUUAUAACAUGGAUAUGCAGGUACAUAUCUGCUUCAGUGCAGCUACAGAGGAGGGUGAGGAUGGGGCCAUCUGCGCUGGCCAUAUCCCUGGUACUUCAGGGGUUCCAGCCCCAUCUCCUUCUUUUCUUCCCUUCUCCAGGAGUAUAAACCCCUUUUCCCUGCAGAAGCAGUUUGAAGCUUCCCUAAAAACCCUGCAAGAGGAGGACAAGCCACAUGCUGGGCUGACUGAGGCAGCAAAGGAGACAAGACAGAAGAUGCUGGUGGGUGGUGCUGCCAUCUGGGUGCUCCAUGGGGGCCACACUGCUUCAUUCUCCCUCCAGCAUCCUCCUCCUUCUCCUUCAUCCUCCAAACUCGAGUGGGUGCUGACAAGCAGAAGCUGCGGGUGAUGCUGAAGGGGCUCUACUGGGUGCUGAGUGACCAGGAAUCACAGUUUCAUUCCCGGUUCCAUCGCCUGUGCUGGCGGUUGGAGGAACAGCAGCAUGGUGAAGGUGCUGAGAUGUCAUGGAUCCAGCAAGGCCAUGCAGGGCUCCAGGCCAAGUGCCAGCAACCAGAUGGCAACCUGCUAUGGGUGAGACAAAACUUGGCCCCAGAAUCUGCUGCCCGCCUUUUUGGCUUUUAUUCACAUGAAAGCAUCUUUCUUCCUUCCUCUCCAGGAUGUCUGAACCACGUUGAACAGGCAUUAGAGCCAAAAAACAUCAUCAGGAGCACCAGUUUUGGCCUUCAUCUUUAUCUUCAUCUUCAACUUCAUCGUCAUCUUCAUCUUCUUCAUCAUCAUUGCCUUCUUCUUUCUUCUUUCUUCUUUCUUCUUUUGUCUUCUUCUUUCUUCUUCUUCCCCUGUGUUCUUUUCCUCUGGGAUUUUUGCUUUGGAGCUGGAAGGGGUUGAUGGUUAAUCCAAAACUUGGUGAUGAUGGGGGAAUCUCACUCCUGCUGGAGUGAGAGCCUUGCCCACGGAAGUAAAGAUGUCCCAGUGGUUUUCUAGCAAUGGGGAAAGGAUAUUUGGUAUUAAACACCCAAUUUACUCCCCUCGAGGUGCACAAAGAGGAACGUACAACCAUCACUGCUGUUGAUGUCAGAGCUGGAAACAUCUUGAGGAUUUCACUGGAAAAACCAACAUGCUGGCAGAGGCAGUGACACAAUUUAAAGGUGCCUGGAGACAUCUUGGAGUGCUCUCUGGAGGAAGACUCAGAGGGAUACCAGAGAGCCAUGACCCUGGAUCCAGCCACAGCUCACCCCCAAAUCCUGGUGUCAUUGGAUGUCCGGACUGCAGGCCACCGGGAAUCACCCCCAGCUCCUCUGCCCUCAGAAAUGGUGUUCUGAGUCUUUCCUGUGUUUUGGGUCAGCAGGACUUUGUGGGGGACUGUCCUUGCUGGGCCAUGAAGGUUUGUCUGGGUCCUGACUGGGCACUGGGAGUGGCUUGGGAAUUGGUGUCCCAUAAGGGCUGCUUCGGUCUCAGCCCCGAAGGGGCCUGGGUUUGGGCUGUGGGGCAGUGCUGGGGCAGCUUCAGGCUCUCACCUGGCCCAGCCCCAUGUCUCUGCCCCACAACCACACUCUGCCUUGCAUCGAGGGGGCUGUGGAUUACGCUGGUGGGCAGGUGGCUUUCCGUGAUGCUGAUAGUCAGACAAGUCUUUGCCUUUCCUCCACCCACUUUUCCAGGUGAAUGGCUCUGGCCACUGCUCUUACUGGGCGAGGGGCCAGCUUUGCCUUCUGUCCCUGAGUUCCCCAAAAAUCCACUAUGAACCUCCCAAGUGCAAACACUUCCACCACCCCAGCAAACACUCCACUCAACAACAAACAGCCCCACUCCCCCCCAGCCCCAUUUAAUUUUCCUUAUAACAUCUAGUUUAACAAUCAUAUUUCACUCUUUUUCUUCUCAGUGGGAGAACAGAGGUAUUUUUAGUUCCUCAACUGUUUGUCAGUGGAAGCAUGGACCAGAAAAACAGGGAGAACAUCCCUAAAAGAUUUUUAAAAACUCACCUUGAGGAAGAAAAUGGGCUUUGCUGGUGCUGCUAAUAAUAAGAGUCUCAUAAUAAGGUUUUGCAAGUAGAAACUUUCCUACUUAGGAUUUGUAGAGAAUUUAGGAGAAGUGGGUUAAAACCAUGUUUCAUGGCUCCCAGGAUCACUCAGGAUUGGGCCUUUUCAGGGCUUUGUAUUCAUUGCCAGGAUAUAAGCAGGGAGAGAGACCACAGACAGAAUUUCAUUCCCCAUUUCACAAGUGAAUAGAAGGGGAACAAAAUGGACCGAUAUCUUGAAGCAGCAGAAGGUUGUUGUUAGGGUUCAGCCAUGUGAUAAAGUGCUGUUAUCAGCAAGCCCAGACGGGACUGGGCAGGUCUCUGCCUCUUGCAGUCCCAGUCCUUUGCUGCCAGAAUUGACUCCCCAUCCACAUGCACUAUUCACCUUGGUCAGGGAAAGAGGAGAAACUACCAGGAAAGGCAGCAACUUUUAUCUUCGGGACCCUAAUUUUAGACAAGGGCCCUGAUAAAACACAUGUCACAGCUAAACCCACAUUACAGCCCUGCUCAGUUGUUUAAUUAAUUUUUCCCUGUUUGGCUCAUGGUGAGGUUGGUCUUUCCUUGAAAGACAAGGUCCAGUGAUGUGUAAAGCAAAGCACUUCUUUGCAGCAUCCUGCUCCAACAGAUGAGCUUCCAACACUCCAUCCACUUUUCAUCUAAAAAGCUUUAUGGAUAUUUAAUUUGAAAGUCCAUACAAAAAAUAAACAACAAAACCCCCUACCUUUCUGUGUUACUCAGUAGCCCCACAGCUGGCUCUCCAGCAUUGGGGUGGUGAGGAAAUCAGCCUCUUUUUCCUCAAGGGCAGUUCAACAGUGUCCUGUCAGCAGCUGGGAGGCAGAUAGUUGGGUGUGGAGGGUGCACAGCCCCCAGUCCUUGAGCAGUGCCAGCAGAUGCACCUUGCAGCCCUCCCACAUGGACCCUUGGACCACAAAACCCUCCUGAGUGACAGGCACACCUCAUACCAGCCCAUGAAAGAGGCUGUGGGGAGUAGCUGAAGGGACUCAGCUUUUUUCUGCCCAAGGGUGGAAGUUUUUUUCCACCCAGGGGUUGAAGUUUUUUCCCACAAAGCUGGGGCCCAGGGUGCAUUUGUGGGGUUUUGGGGCUUGAGGAUGAGCAUUCCCACAGGGGAGUUUUAGCCAUUGCCUCCUGCUUCUCCCCAUGCUGCCCCUUUAACACCUCAGGAUCAGACUGAGUGGGAGCUGUGCAUCCAAGGGAAGUGCAGCAGGCAUGCAGGGGCAAACCUGAGUGAGGACUGCAAGCCCUCCACUAUGGUGGGUGUGUUAAUCUUCUCCUGCUCCUCACUGAGGUCCACUGUAAGUGGAAAGAGGUGGAUUUUGGGGAUGGGUUUACAACUGUUCAACUUUUUAUCAACUGUUAAUAAUUUGUUGGUGUUGGUAGGUGCUUAUAAAAAUGGAGAUCAAAAUGCACUUUUUAAAAUCAGCAGCUUGUUAUAUCCAGAAGGCAGAAAAUACAGCUCCAGUGCAAACUAGGGGGUUGUCUGUUUUCAAUCAUCUGGUUUUGGGUAUGUUUGCUCCAUUUUGAGCCUUCUCCCCAAGGGAGCAGCUAGCACAGUGGGAGAUGGGGAUUUUCCACCUUGAAACAAUGCCCACAGGGAAGAAAUCCCCAAAUCAGGGAGGAACUUGUUAAAGAAAUGGUGACCUCUGCGCUGCUGCCUUGAGGAGAAAGUGCUCCCCAACUCCUUUGUUUUUGUUGAGGGUUGAUAGACCCCCAAUCCCUUUGUUUUUGAGAAGACUGCCCCCUUUUAAGUGAAAAUAAGACUUGUUGUUUUCAGCACUAGCAGUGGACAUGGGGAAGAAACAGCUCCAAAAAUAUCCCUAAACCCUUCCAGAAUUAACCUAUAUGCUGCUUGGGGCGGGAGGGGAGGCUUAAGUUUUUCAUGUGUCACCACUUUGCCCAGUUCCCCCCUCCAGGGGCCUUUUACCCUCUUCUUACCCAGUUUGUUGGGAUAAAAUGUCAUAAUUUCAUUUAA